UUUUUUGCAUUUUUUAUUAAUUUAGUUUUUUACAUUCCAAUCCCAGUUUCCCCUCCCUCCUCUCCUCCUGCUGCCCCCACUCCCCCUCUCCUCCCAUCUGCUCCACAGAGAGGGUGAGGCCUCCCCUAGGAAGUCUACUGUCUGCCCCACCAUCUCGUUGAGGCAGGACCAAGGCACCUCCCCACCCCAACCCCCUGUGUCUAGGCUGGGCAAGGUGUCUCUCCAUCUAGAAUGGGCUCCACUAAGUCAUUCUGUACAUUAGUGUUAGGUCUUGGACCCACUAAUAUAUUGUCCCAGUCACACCAUUGUCAGCUAUAUUAAGGGAGCCUAGUUGGGUCUUAUGCAGAUUCCCCAUUAGUCAGACCUGAGUCAGUGACCUCUCACCAGCUUGGGUCAGCUGAUUCUGUGGGUUUCCCCACCAUGGCCUUGACUCCUUUGUUCAAGUUCUUGAGGGGCCCUCUUUUCUUCCUUUCAUCCCUGCUCAUCUGAUUUUUUUUCUCUUCAACCGAGCCACGCUCCAGCUCCACCCAGCACACCACGGGUUGGACAGCAUUGCCUGAGGAGGAAAAUCAAAUGAAGGCUGGAGAAAAAGCCAAGCGCAGUGCCACAUCACAUCCCAGUGACCAUGACCAUUAUGACAGGAGGCACAGUGCCUCCACGAACAGUCUUCAUAUAUCUUGGCAAAUAUGUGGGCGCGUGUCUCGUUGGCUGCACCGUGGCUGGUUCCUAGGAGCUGGAGUGUAGCAUUCAAGGCCUGAACAUGUUCAGCUGCAGUAGCAACUAUUGGAAACUCAAAACUCACAGAUUUCCCAGGCCAGUGAGGCAGCUCAGGGUAGAAGUGCUCGUUAUACAAGGUGGGAGAGAGAACCGACCUCCACAAGUUGUCCUUUGACUUCACACACGCACCAAGCCGUGUGUCUGCAUGUUCGUAUGGGCACCUAGAUGCAUGCACGUGCGCGCGCA
rnacentral:lncRNA from 1 species